UAGGGAAUCUUCGGCAAUGGACGAAAGUCUGACCGAGCAACGCCGCGUGAGUGAAGAAGGUUUUCGGAUCGUAAAACUCUGUUGUUCGAGAAGAACAAGGACGUUAGUAACUGAACGUCCCCUGACGGUAUCUAACCAGAAAUCCACGGCUAACUACGUGCCAGCAGCCGCGGUAAUACGUAGGUGGCAAGCGUUGUCCGGAUUUAUUGGGCGUAAAGCGAGCGCAGACGGUUUCUUAAGUCUGAUGUGAAAGCCCCCGGCUCAACCGGGGAGGGUCAUUGGAAACUGGGAGACUUGAGUGCGGAAGAGGAGAGUGGAAUUCCAUGUGUAGCGGUGAAAUGCGUAGAUAUAUGGAGGAACACCAGUGGCGAAGGCGGCUCUCUGGUCUGUAACUGACGCUGAGGCUCGAAAGCGUGGGGAGCAAACAGG
rnacentral:rRNA from 1 species